UUUAUGGAGAGUUUGAUCCUGGCUCAGGAUGAACGCUGGCGGCGUGCCUAAUACAUGCAAGUCGAGCGAACGGACGAGAAGCUUGCUUCUCUGAUGUUAGCGGCGGACGGGUGAGUAACACGUGGAUAACCUACCUAUAAGACUGGGAUAACUUCGGGAAACCGGAGCUAAUACCGGAUAAUAUUUCGAACCGCAUGGUUCAAAAGUGAAAGACGGUCUUGCUGUCACUUAUAGAUGGAUCCGCGCUGCAUUAGCUAGUUGGUAAGGUAACGGCUUACCAAGGCAACGAUGCAUAGCCGACCUGAGAGGGUGAU
rnacentral:rRNA from 1 species